rnacentral:rRNA from 1 species
AUACGAAAGGUACAAGCGUUGUUCGGAUUUACUGGGCGUAAAGAGAGUGUAGGUGGUUUAUUAAGUCGGAUGUGAAAUCCCGGGGCUCAACCUCGGAACUGCAUUCGAUACUGAUAGGCUAGAGUUUGGGAGGGGUAAGCGGAAUUCCGUGUGUAGCAGUGAAAUGCGUAGAUAUACGGAGGAACACCCGAGGCGAAGGCGGCUUACUGGACCAAUACUGACACUGAGACUCGAAAGCGUGGGUAGCAAACAGGAUUAGAAACCCCGGUAGUCC